rnacentral:rRNA from 1 species
UAUACCAGGUAUGUAAUNCUGUUUGCUCNCCACGCUUUCGCACCUGAUCGUYAGUCUUUGUCCAGGGGGCCGCCUUNGGCACCGGUAUUCCUCCAGAUCUCUACGCAUUUCACCGCUACACCUGGAAUUCUACCCCCCUCUACAAGACUCUAGCUGGACAGUUUUAAAUGCAAUUCCCAGGUUGAGCCCGGGGCUUUCACAUCUAACUUAUCCAACCGCCUGCGUGCGCUUUACGCCCAGUAAUUCCGAUUAACGCUUGCACCCUCCGUAUUACCGCGGCUGCUGGCACGGAGUUAGCCGGUGCUUCUUCUGCGAGUAACGUCACAGNUGGCAGGUAUUAGGUACCAACCUUUCCUCCUCGCUGAAAGUGCUUUACAACCCGAAGGCCUUCUUCACACACGCGGGAUGGCUGCAUCAGGGUUUCCCCCAUUGUGCAAUAUUCCCCACUGCUGCCUCCCGUAGGAGUCUGGACCGUGUUNUCANUUCCAGUGGGGNUGAUCAUCCUCUCAGACCANCUAGGGAUCGUCGCCUUGGNGAGCCAUUNCCNCACCAACUAGCUNAU